ACGCCUGAUCCGUUUGAUCCGC
rnacentral:siRNA from 1 species